rnacentral:rRNA from 1 species
UACGUAGGGGGGCAAGCGUUGUCCGGAAUCAUUGGGCGUAAAGCGCGUGUAGGCGGCCAGAAAAGUCCGCUGUGAAAACUCGAGGCUCAACCUCGGGCCUGCAGUGGGUACGGGCAGACUAGAGUGCGGGUAGGGGAGAUUGGAAUUCCUGGUGUAGCGGUGGAAUGCGCAGAUAUCAGGAGGAACACCAAUGGCGAAGGCAGAUCUCUGGGCCGUAACUGACGCUGAGGAGCGGAAAGCAUGGGGAGCGAACAGG